UUGGCUUUUGAAAGGAUUGGCCCAUUAAACGUCGCCAAGGAGAAGCAUAUACGCUUUUAGUUCUCUGCACACUGCACAAUAUGUGAGGGACAAAUAAGGUAUGUGUGUUUAGGCUUUUCAGAAAGGCUACUUCCUUCAGCAAUCAUGCCGUUUCCAGGCCUGCAAUACUGAGCAGGUAUCCCCAUCCUUUGCAGGGGUGUGUCGGAACGGGACGUUUAUGUGGGGCCGUAAUUAUUCAUUCCCUCGGGUGCUGGAGUUUCGCAUUCUGAUGGUAUGAUGGCGGGAUUGGACCGGGGUGGCUACUAGCGUUGGACCUAUGUUGACAGAGUUCUGAGACCGGAGUAACCUAGAUUAUCUCCAUAUCUCCAUCCAAUACUGAAUUUAGCGUGCAAUCCAUUCGACUGGAGAUUAAGACUGAGCUUUUGGUUUUAAAAAUUUUUUUUUUUUUUUGAGUUUUCUUUAGCUAAGGAUGAUAUCGGCCAUUCAUGGUCAAUAUCUGCUGUGGAAGCCCGCGAUGAUGCAUUUCCCCUAUAUUUCUGACAAUGGCUUGUAAUAAUAUUGUUAUAUGAAAAGAAAAUUAGUAUAAUGAGCGAUAGGGAUGCCAACACAUGAUAACAAAAUAAAAUAAAUAAAUAAAAAAAAAAAAAAAAUAGCUGGCUAGCUAGAUAGAUAGGUUAAAAAAAAGAAAAGAAACCAAACCAAACCAAACCAAACCAAAAAAUAUG
rnacentral:sRNA from 1 species